GACGAACGCUGGCGGCGUGCCUAAUACAUGCAAGUUGAGCGCUGAAGGUUGGUCCUUGUACCAACUGGAUGAGCAGCGAACGGGUGAGUAACGCGUGGGGAAUCUGCCUUUGAGCGGGGGACAACAUUUGGAAACGAAUGCUAAUACCGCAUAAAAACUUUAAACACAAGUUUUAAGUUUGAAAGAUGCAAUUGCAUCACUUAAAGAUGAUCCCGCGUUGUAUUAGCUAGUUGGUGAGGUAAAGGCUCACCAAGGCGAUGAUACAUAGCCGACCUGAGAGGGUGAUCGGCCACAUUGGGACUGAGACACGGCCCAAACUCCUACGGGAGGCAGCAGUAGGGAAUCUUCGGCAAUGGACGAAAGUCUGACCGAGCAACGCCGCGUGAGUGAAGAAGGUUGUCGGAUCGUAAAACUCUGUUGGUAGAGAAGAACGUUGGUGAGAGUGGAAAGCUCAUCAAGUGACGGUAACUACCCAGAAAGGGACGGCUAACUACGUG
rnacentral:rRNA from 1 species